rnacentral:sRNA from 1 species
GCCAGGCGUGGUGGCGCAUGCCUGUAAUCCCAGCUACUCAGGAGGCUGAGGCAGGAGAAUCACUUGAAUCCGGGAGGCGGAGGUUGCAGUGAGCCGAGAUGGUGCCACUGCACUCCAGCCUGGGUGACAGAGUGAGACUCCGUCUCAA